UACGUAGGGUGCAAGCGUUAAUCGGAAUUACUGGCGUAAAGCGUGCGCAGGCGGUUUUGUAAGUCUGUCGUGAAAUCCCCGGGCUCAACCUGGGAAUUGCGAUGGAGACUGCAAGGCUAGAAUCUGGCAGAGGGGGUAGAAUUCCACGUGUGAGCAGUGAAAUGCGUAGAGAUGUGGAGGAACACCGAUGGCGAAGGCAGCCCCUGGGUCAAGAUUGACGCUCAUGCACGAAAGCGUGGGGAGCAA
rnacentral:rRNA from 1 species